rnacentral:lncRNA from 1 species
UCGAAUGUUCCCUUACCUAACUAUACAAAUACAUAUACAAAUGAUAAAUGGACGGGUCGGGUAUUGGGUCAGAUGACCCAGGCUCAGAUAUGACCCAUUAGGCUUAUAAGUGUCAGUGGCCCAACACAUGAGCCCAAAACAUAUAUCAUCACAGCCUACCUGUAUACACUCUAUAUACAUCAGAUAUACAACAUCAAUACACAACUAUACAACUAUUGAAGUGGCUUGGAGGCC